CGGGAUGUAGCGCAGCCCGGUUAGCGUAUUUGUCUGGGGGGCAAAGGGUCGCGAGUUCAAAUCUCGCCAUCCCGA
rnacentral:tRNA from 2 species